AUACCGCACGCUGUUGCCGUCUUCCUGAGCCACGGAGAGGGCCGAGCUUUGGGGGAAGCGAUUCGACAACUUAGCGAAGAUUUGCCGGUGGAAAUGGAGUUCCAGAUGCAGGCAAUUAAAAGAUUAACGGCGUUGGAGGAGGUUAAUGUUAGUGGCGUCCUGAUGUACCCCCUCCAUUAGAUUAGGGCGGGAAUGGAUCAGAAUCAGCCCCCUGCGGAAAUUCGAUGGGCGGAUUGCAAGAAGGAUCCUAGAGCUCCAGGAUGGACCCGCUGCUAGCAGGACCACUGGACCAAAACUCUAGAAGCAAGAAAGAUAAUGAGGGAAAUCAGACUCCUCUGGUGACUGGAACGAGAAUGAUGAGUCAACGAGUGGUGGAAUGCAGCAAGCUAAGCCGCGGAUCGGAAGACGAAAAUCAAUUUGGUCCGUGGCUCAGGAAAUCCGCUUUUCCGUCGAAUGGCUGCAGGCACAAAUUGGAUGCAGAGCUCUGGCUCUUCUCCCCCAAAGGCCCCAGCAUGGACGACAUUUGGAAGCAGAGGAGUGAGAAAGAGGGAUAGGAAGCAGAGGCGGCCGCCAACGAUGAAGUUCCUAAUGCAACUAAUCAAUCAGGAGAGGGCCCCGGGGCAUGAUAUAGUUUUCAAGAAUGUGUCAUGUUCAUGAAAAGCUGUUGUGUACCAACAAUGCUGUUAGCACAGUGUCAUCUCUAAGGGAGGUAAAUUAGCUAGCAGGACCACUGGACCAAAACUCUAGAAGCAAGAAAGAUAAUGAGGGAAAUCAGACUCCUCUGGUGACUGGAACGAGAAUGAUGAGUCAACGAGUGGUGGAAUGCAGCAAGCUAAGCCGCGGAUCGGAAGACGAAAAUCAAUUUGGUCCGUGGCUCAGGAAAUCCGCUUUUCCGUUGAAUGGCUGCAGGCACAAAUUGGAUGCAGAGCUCUGGCUCUUCUCCCCCAAAGGCCCCAGCAUGGACGGCAUUUGGAAGCAGAGGAGUGAGAAAGAGGGAUAGGAAGCAGAGGCCGGCGCCAACGAUGAAGUUCCUAAUGCAACUAAUCAAUCAGAAGGUAUGUCGAUUCGUAAGUAUAUCGUGAUCUUUUUCUGUUUUGCACGCACAGAAGGGGCAACUCGCCGCAGGUGUCGCGGCUGUGUAUAGGUAAGGUCAACCCUCAAGGUCCAUUGUGGGCUAAGAGGUUAGUUCGCAACAUACUAACAUUAAUAGAGAUGUAAAAAUCUUAGGUGAUAAUUGGGAUAUAGUACAUUUGUAGAAAUUUGGUCCCUGUUCAGAUAAUUUGGAUAGAGUCCGGUAGUCGCAAGGAAGUAAUUAAGAUUGUUCUUCCACAGUGCAUUACUGAUGAAAACUACUUGGUUGUCAAAUGUUGUAAAUUUUGAUUAGCAGCUUAAUAGGGCAGUGACUAGGAACUUUGCAUUUAAGAAAUGAUCACUAGUAGUGAUCUAAAAAGAUCUUUUAGUAGUGAUCUGGAAAGAUCUUUUAGAUCACUAGUAGUGAUCUAAAAGAUCUUAUAUUUACAGAGGGAGUACUGAUGUACCACAAA